UUGCAUAUAUUGGACAGACUUGGGGCAGUUAUUGUCUGCUGUUUAGGUUUUUAUUACAGAUGGAAAGAUAAAAGUUUCCUCAUGCUUGCUUUCUGUCCGAUUGUGGCAGCUAAGACUGAAAAGGGGAAUGCAGGA
rnacentral:snoRNA from 1 species